CCCCUCUCGGGGUCACACCUGGAGAGUUUCCAGUACUCUACCAGUCUCAACUACGGGAGGGAGAGUCAAGCAGAGGCCUACCCAUUCCGUUCCUUGCUUGGGCGGUAGCUAGCAAGUUGAAGGCAAUCUGCUACAAGU